rnacentral:rRNA from 1 species
UACGUAGGGGGCAAGCGUUGUCCGGAUUUAUUGGGCGUAAAGAGCGUGUAGGCGGCCUGACAGGUCUGCUGUGAAAACUCGAGGCUCAACCUCGAGAUGUCGGCGGAAACCGUCUGGCUAGAGUCCGGAAGAGGAGAGUGGAAUUCCUGGUGUAGCGGUGAAAUGCGCAGAUAUCGGGAGGAACACCGAUGGCGAAGGCAAUCCCCUGGGCCUGCACUGACGCUCAUGCACGAAAGCGUGGGGAGCAAACAGG